rnacentral:rRNA from 1 species
GUGGAGCGGUGAAAGGCUCAGUAACGGGCGAGUUAUUUGUUCUCCUGGGACGGACAACACCGGGAAACUGGUGGGAAAACGUCUAAGUUGCGGUUUUUUAAUCGUGGCGUAAACCAUUUGGUGCAGGAGAGUAAGCUGCCAUCCUAUCAGUUAGUAAGUAGGGUAAGGGCCUACUUAGACGAAGACGGGUACGGGGAAUGAGGGUUUGAUUCCGGAGAGGGAGCCUGAGAGACGGCUACCAGGACCAAGGUCAGCAGCAGGCGCGAAAAUUAUCGAAGCCCGCGUAGGGGCGAUAGUGAGGAGACGUGUAUUACGAAGUGUGUGUAAAGAACGCACUAAUAACUGGAGGUCAAGUCUGGUGCCAGCAUCCGCGGUAAUUCCAGCUCCAGGGGUGUCUAUGAUGAUUGCUGCGAUUAAAAAGUCCGUAGUCAAGCUGACUGACUUGCCUGCAAUGUGACUGAUUAAGAGACGAGCAGGGCUAGGAAAGCAGAGAAUUAGGAGCGACCGAGGGCUAGAGUAUUGAAUGGCGAGAGGUGAAAUUUGAUGACCCAUUCAGGAGUGACAAAGGCGAAGGCACUAGUCAAGGGCGAAUCCGAUGAUCAAGGACGUAGGCUAGAGUUUCGAAAACGAUUAGAGACCGGAGUAGUUCUAGCAGUAAACUAUGCCGACGCCGUGGUAUGGUAUUCUGUAUUGCGGAAGAGAAAUCAAGUAAGGCUUUGGGGAGAGUACGCGCGCAAGCGAUAAAUUUAAAGGAAAUUGACGGAGGAACACCACAAGGAGUGGAGUGUGCGGCUUAAUUUGACUCAACGCGGGACAGCUUACCAGGCCCGAUAAUCAUACGAGCGUAGUACGCGAUAGGUUAGAGAGUGGUGCAUGGCUGCUAUCGACAGUUGGGGUGACCUUAGGGUUAAUUCCGGCAAGUAGUGAGACCUCUGCAGUUAUGGACAGGUAUUUUUAAGAUACAGGAAGGAAGAGACAAGAGCAGGUCAGUGAUGCCCUUAGAUGGCCUGGGCUGCACGCGCACUACAGUGGUCAUUAUAAGUAGAA